GCGAAGAAACUUACAACAAAGAGUCCCUCCCGACUGUUUACCAAAAACACAGCACUCUGCUAACUCGUAAGAGGAUGUAUAGGGUGUGACGCCUGCCCGGUGCUCGAAGGUUAAUUGAUGGGGUUAGCAUUAGCGAAGCUCUUGAUCGAAGCCCGAGUAAACGGCGGCCGUAACUAUAACGGUCCUAAGGUAGCGAAAUUCCUUGUCGGUUAAAUACCGACCUGCAUGAAUGGCGUAACGAGAUGGGAGCUGUCUCAAAGAGGGAUCCAGUGAAAUUGUAGUGGAGGUGAAAAUUCCUCCUACCCGCGGCAAGACGGAAAGACCCCGUGGACCUUUACUACAGCUUGACACUGCUAUUUGGAUAAGAAUGUGCAGGAUAGGUGGGAGGCUUUGAGUAUAUGACGCCAGUUGUAUAUGAGCCAUUGUUGAGAUACCACUCUUUCUUAUUUGGGUAGCUAACCAGCUUGAGUUAUCCUCAAGUGGGACAAUGUCUGGUGGGUAGUUUGACUGGGGCGGUCGCCUCCCAAAUAAUAACGGAGGCUUACAAAGGUUGGCUCAGAACGGUUGGAAAUCGUUCGUAGAGUAUAAAGGUAUAAGCCAGCUUAACUGCAAGACAUACAAGUCAAGCAGAGACGAAAGUCGGUCUUAGUGAUCCGGUGGUUCUGUGUGGAAGGGCCAUCGCUCAAAGGAUAAAAGGUACCCCGGGGAUAACAGGCUGAUCUCCCCCAAGAGCUCACAUCGACGGGGAGGUUUGGCACCUCGAUGUCGGCUCAUCGCAUCCUGGGGCUGGAGCAGGUCCCAAGGGUAUGGCUGUUCGCCAUUUAAAGCGGUACGCGAGCUGGGUUCAGAACGUCGUGAGACAGUUCGGUCCCUAUCUGCCGUGGGCGUAAGAAGAUUGAAGAGAUUUGACCCUAGUACGAGAGGACCGGGUUGAACAAACCACUGGUGUAGCUGUUGUUCUGCCAAGAGCAUCGCAGCGUAGCUAAGUUUGGAAAGGAUAAACGCUGAAAGCAUCUAAGCGUGAAGCCAACUCUAAGAUGAAUCUUCUCUAAGCUCUCUAGAAGACUACUAGUUUGAUAGGCUGGGUGUGUAAUGGAUGAAAGUCCUUUAGCUGACCAGUACUAAUAGAGCGUUUGGCUUAUCUUU
rnacentral:rRNA from 1 species